UACGGGGGGGGGGCAAGCGUUGUUCGGAAUUACUGGGCGUAAAGGGCUCGUAGGCGGCCAACUAAGUCAGACGUGAAAUCCCUCGGCUUAACCGAGGAACUGCCCUCCAAACUGCGUUGCUUGAGGCCGGGAGAGGUGAGUGGAAUUCCUAGUGUAGAGGUGAAAUUCGUAGAUAUUAGGAAGAACACCAGUGGCGAAGGCGGCUCACUGGCCCGGUACUGACGCUGAGGCGGCGAAAAGCGUGGGGAGCAAACAGGG
rnacentral:rRNA from 1 species